CAUGUGGACUUUGGCUUGCAGUGCAAGGGAACACCCACCUGGCAGAGCCCAGAGCCCAGCUGCACGCCACCUGCUCCCGCCUCCAUCACACUUACAUAAGGGAAACACGGAGGGGGCCAGGGCACAUUUAACCCAGAAAUCCUCACGUGACCACGUGGAUCCGAAGCAGAGCAGACCUGGCUCUGCUUUCCAUCCCACGCGUAGCCACAUCUGGGAAGCAAAUCAAAGAGGGGACACUGCACAGCGAGAGCCUGGGGAGCCUGCGGAACUGAAGGACCAAGGCAGCAGUUGCCUCUUUACCCGUCCUUUGCUUGGGUAGCUCUGCCGCCUCAUGUACUCAGCUGGGGAGGCGGCCAUGCCAGGCACCUGGCGCAGUUACAGAAAUCCUCUUAAUGCUGAAAACAAGUGCCUUGUUCUUGGAGCACCACAGAAGGGAAGAUGGCUCUUUCUGGGAGAGUUUUACCUGCAGUAAAGU